rnacentral:rRNA from 1 species
UACGGGGGGGGCAAGCGUUGUUCGGAAUUACUGGGCGUAAAGGGCUCGUAGGCGGCCAACUAAGUCGAACGUGAAAUCCCCGGGCUCAACCCGGGAACUGCGUCCGAUACUGGAAGGCUUGAAUCCGGGGGAGGGAUGUGGAAUUCCAGGUGUAGCGGUGAAAUGCGUAGAUAUCUGGAGGAACACCGGUGGCGAAGGCGACAUCCUGGACCGGUAUUGACGCUGAGGCGCGAAAGCCAGGGGAGCAAACGGG